UGAGGAGGAGCCAGAUUCUCCGUCCUCCUGUCUCCGGCAGAACAUACACCGCUUGGCUAAUACAGAAGACUCGUUUUCAAAGGCGGAGAAAAACUGGUCACAGCUUUUGCACUGCCAUGGAGUAUUUUCCAAAAACAGAAACGAUGUGCAGGUCAGAGGAGAUGAAGCGCUGUGUGUGGAAUCCCACCUCCCACCACCCAGCUGGCCUGGACUGAGCCAAGGCAAGGCCUCCCCUCUCCCGAGUCUCUGACUCCACAAACUGCCCCGGGCAGGCUGGGAGCACAAGACCAGACACAGUUUUCUGCCCAGCCUUUCCCUCCAACGCUAGGAGGGUAGCGAGGGCUGGCCCUCGCACAGCCACGUGCUUGGGAGGAAGGAGACAGGGUUGUGUCCAGCCCUUGUCCAGUGUUCCCUGGACAGAGUGGUCCCGAGUGGACCUGUGGGCCCCAAGAAGUGGCCUGAGUCCUGAUAUGCUAAGGAUGCCUGACUUGCAGGACAGAGUUAGAAAGAAGCAAGGUGAGCAGGUAAGGAUGCUUUUGUUUGUUUUUCAGUAAGAGGAAUUAAACCCAGGGCCUUGUACGUGUUAGGCCACUGAGCUACAUUCCCAGCCCCACCCCCACCCCGUUGUGUGUGUGUGUGUGUGUGUGUGUGUGUGUGUGUGUGUGUUUAAUUUUGAGUUAGGCUCUCGAUAUAUAUCUCAGGUAGACCGUAAGCAUAAAUCCUCCUGCCUCAGCCUUCUGAAAAGCUAGUGGUAUAGGUGUGUGCUACCUUGCUAGCAUUCAAGAUUUACAAACUAAACAGGGCUUUUAUCUAUUUCUCUGUUUGUUUGUUAAGGGCAUCAGGUCCCCUGGAACUGGAGUUGGGAAUGGUUAUGAACCACUAUGUGGGUGCUAGAAUCGAAUCCGGGUCCUCUGCAGGAGCAGAAAGUGCUCUCAGCUGCUAGACCAUCUCUCUAGCCCCCAUUUAUUGGUUAGGUUUUUGGAGACAAUGCCUCAUUAAAUCUCAUAGGCUGACCUCCAACAACUCGUGAUCGUCCUGCUUCAAGCUCCUAAAUAUUGGGCUUACGAGAGGGAGCCAACUUGCUCAGCUCCAGAUGAGGAUUUCAACUAGCUGAUGUGGGAUCUGAGUAGUCUCCUCCAUGCUGAGUCUCUUUCUGGCCAAAACACCAUCCAGCACAUACAGAUGCUCACCUGUCUCAUUGCUACCCACUAUUAAGCCAGUGAUUCAGGCAGAGACUCUUAGCCCACAUCAAAGGCCGCUCAGGGGUCCCAACACUAGAACACUAAUACCUCUUCUGGGGACACACACACAAACCUACAAGGUGUCAUGUCCAUAUCCUGGCACUCCAUGCUCCUGUACUUUGCUCCCCUUAAGAACUUAGGGCACUUGGAAGCCCAGCAGAUCCUGCUGGGACAGACCUUCUGAGAAACCCAGCUGCUGAGGUUUCUCCUGUCAAUUUGGAACAAAUGGAACACAGUAGCUUCAUCUCCGCUACAGCUCCUGUUAGACCCUUUAAAAUUAGAAUCUUUACCUACCUUCCCUCACAGCCUGUUUCCCAUGGUUCAAACUCUGAAUAAGAGGACUCAUGGAGAAGGCAGCUCUGGGCCAGCCCGGAUGUCAGGGGAAGACUGAUGGUCUUUACGCUACAGCUUCCAGGGUCUGUGAACUAACAAGGCCACAAGAGCCAUAGAAACCAGCUAGCCACAGAGACAAGGGUGUCCCGUUCCCCAGCCUCAGUGCUGCCCCACACUGGCUAUUUCAAGGAGCCGUGGUUUCUAGCCAGAACUUCUGAGAGCUUGGAGGUGGAGUGGUCACAUCUUUUGCCUCUGUGGCCUUCCCUGGCGAAGCUAACAGUGUGCCAGCCCUGCCACCCAGCUCUUGUACUGAACAAUGAUGGGUUCCUGAGCCUUCCACAUGGGAAAUGGGGAAGCAGGGAUCUGGCCAGGGUGUCUACAGAUGGAGUACAGCACACUUGCAGAGGGUCCAGCCACUCAUCUACUGACUGCAGGGGGCUCCCUUGGGCCUUCGGCCUUCUGCAGACCUUCACUGCCCCAGCCCACUCCUCAGGCAGACCAGACUUGCUGAUGCCUCUGACCCUGAACUGGCUCUUCCUGCUACUAGGAUCUCCUUCCCUUAGAUAGCUGAACCCCACUCCCACAAACCCCUUACCGUCUUCAAGUCUACACACCUGUUGCCUUCUCAGUAAGACUGAUCCUGACUACCCUGUAUAAUAUCACAGAGCUGGAGAGAUGGCUCAGUGGUUAGGAGCCCUUUCUGCUCCUUCAGAGGACCCAGGUCAGGUGUCUCACAACUGCCUAUAACUCCAGCUCCAGGGGAUCUAAUGCCCUCUUCUGGACACACACACACACACACACACACACACACACACACACACACACACCUCACACACAAAAAAGCCGGGGAGCACAUUUUUAACGGUAGAGCUCAGGAGACCGAGGCAGGGGCAUCUCUGUAAGUUCACGGUCAGCCUGGUGUACAUUGCUAGUUGCAGGCCAGCCAGGGCUAUGCAGUGAGAUGCUAUCUCAAAAUAAUAAUAAUAAUAAUAAUAAUAAUAGCUUAGAAGUUGGGAGUGCAAUUCAAUGGGAGCGUGCUUGCCCAUGCCAGGCCAUGAAAGGCCUUGGGCUCUAACCCUAGCACAAUAACUAAACAAACAAAUCAUAAAUUAUGUGCACACUUAUAACCCAGCACUUAGAAGAAUAAGGGAAGAGAAUCAAGAGUUUCAGGCCAGCCUAGGAUAUAUCAAGAAUAUGUCUCAGAAAACCUUCCCUCCGUGUUACUUUUUCUAAAAGAUGACCGCUUAUCAUGUGAGCCUGUGUUUUCCUCAUGUCUGGACACUUGUCUCACCUUUGUCCCCGGGGUCCUGUAAAUGUUUGCUCAGGGAAUAAACUGAAUUGGUGAAGGCUAAGGGACCUCUUCGCUGGGCGUACUUUUACCUGAUACCAACCUGCUUGACCUUGCAGCCCAUGGUCCUCUUGUUCUCAGUUACCAAAGGAAUUUUCUCCAGAUCUUCAAUAUUCCACAGUCUCAAGGUGUUGUCCUAGAACAAGUCAAAUGGUAAGCCAGGGGUCACAAAACAAAAAAAACACUAUGAAGGCUGUGGGUGUAGCUCAGUCUCCAGCAGCACCCAAAACAGGUGUGCUGGCACCCGCCUUGCCUGUAAUCCCAGCACAUGGGAAGCUGAGGCAGGAGGAUCAGGAGUUCGGGGCCAGCCUGAGCUACAUGAGGGCCUGUGGAACAGCCAUGCAAUGGGAUAGCAUUCCGUGUUCAGGAUAAAUGAGCUGUCAAGCCCCCCAAAGACAGAGAGGGAGAAUGCAAAAACACAUAUUGUUGAGCAAAACAAGCCAGUCUGAAAAGGCUACAGGCUGUAAAUUUCAUCUAUCCAGCAUUCUAGGAAAGCAAAUAUUAUAGACUGAGCAUGAACACAAGUUCCUGGAAAACAAACAAACACCACACCUUCCACUAAGCCUUCUGCAACGCUCACUAACUGAUUAGAACUCAAAUGACGUGGAGAGGUUGGAAUGUUGCAAGUCCAAAGCCAGAUCAUCACGAGCUGAGCCGUCUCUAGCAGUUUUAACAGCCCUCUGUGACCCACCUCUGAUGUUAUCUAAGGCCUCUGUGACCUUGAAGUAAGUCCUUUGGAAUGUGCAGACCGACCCCUCACUUCUUCCAACCAAAAGGCCUGGAGAUGAGGCUUCCCCAGGUACCUGCGACCUUCCAACGUAGCUGGGGAUGAUUUUCUAGGUUCCAUUAUUAUGGGAACUGCUGCCAUGGGGGAGCACAAAAUGUGGGAUGACUAGAAUCUGUGCUCCUGUGUCACAGUCACUCAUGCUUGAUUCCAGAGUAAACUGUCUCAUCACCUUUGAGGUGAGAGUUACAUUUAUGUGUGUGUUCUGUGUGCAUGGUGUGUGUAGUAUGUGUAGUGUGUGUUCUGUGUGAUGUGUGAUAUGUGUGUAUUGUAGGUGUGGCAUGUGUUCUGUGUGAUGUGUGAUAUGUGUGUGUUGUGUGUGUGGUAUAUGUUCUGUGUGUGUGUGUGUGUGUGAGAUGUCUGAUAUGUGUGUGUUGUGUGUGUGGUAUGUGUUCUGUGUGAUGUGUAAUACGUGUGUGUUCUGUUUAUUGUGUGUUGUGUGUGAUGUGUGAUAUGUGUUGUAUAUAGUGUAUGUGUGUGUUGUGUGUAGUAUGUAUAGUAUGUUCUGUGUGAUGUGUGUUGAUGUGUGAUAUGUGUGUGUUGUGUGUGGCAUGUGUUCUGUGUGAUAUGUGUGUGUUGUGUGUGGUAUGUUGUGUUUGUUGUUUUUGUGUGUGUGUGUGAUAAGAGACGGUUAAAAAGAAACAGUGGCUGGCAUGGAUUCUGGGGAUGAAGAGGGGCUGAAUAAGCAGAGCGUGAGGGAUUUUUCAGGCAUAGUUCUAUAGGCUACUGCAAUAAUGGCAUGUAUGUGGUUGAUAUAUUGUGCACCCCAAUAAACUUAUCUGGGGGUCAGAGAACAGAAUAGCCACUAUAUUAAACAUAGAGGUCAGGCAGUGGUAGCACACGCCUUUAAUCUUAGCAUUCCGGAAACAGAGAUCCGUCUGGAUCUCUGUGAAUUCAAAGCCACAUUGGAAACAGCCAGGCGUGGUGACACACCCAUCCCAGGUGUGAUGGCAGGGACCAAAAAGGUAUAUAAGGCAUGAGGGCCAGGAACUAGGGCCUUGUUAAGCUUGUAGGCUUUUAGCAGCAGUUCAGCUGAGAUCCAUUCGGAUGAGGACUCAGAGGCUUCCAGUCUGAGGAGACAGAAUUGGCUGAGAAGUUGGCGAGGUGAGGUUAGCUGUGUGUGUUCUGUCUCUCUGAUCUUCCAGCGUUCACCCCAAUACCUGGCUCCGGGUUUGUUUUUAUUAAUAAGACCUGUUAAGAUUCCUGCUGCACAUGUAUUUGACUAAAACUCAUAGAAUGUACAAAACAAACAGCAAAAACCCCAAGGUGGUGCACACUAAUGCCAGCAUCAGGAGGCUGAGACAGGGGACUGACAAGGUUAAGGUCAACCUGGCUGAGUAUAAGCAAGCCUGAGGUGGGGAGCAGAGAGCACGACUUUGUGAGCUCUGGACUUUUUUUUACUAACAAAAGUAAUUCCAGGGCUGGAGAGGUGGCUCAGUGGUUAAGAACACAUGCUGUUCUUGCAGAGGACCUGAGUUCGGUUCCCAGCAUACACGAAAGGCAGCUCACAACUGCCUGUAACUCCAGCUGCAUGUGAUUUGAUACUCCUCUGACUGCCCCCCCAAUAAUAAAUAAAAAAAUUUUUAAAUUCCAGAAAGAAAUGCAGUUGUUUUAUUCUGCCCUAGUGAGAUUCACUUUCUUGGACUGCCAUCCUAUGGAAUUAUAAGAGAGAACAAAGCUGAACUUUGGAGAACAGUUAUAUUGGCCCCUACCCAGGAGAAGUGGCCAGUUUAUCUACAGUCAGUUUCUACAGUGUAUCAAAAAGUGUGUCAAAUCCUGGCAACAUGGCCAGUCCAGGCCACAGGACCCCACAAUGAGACCUCUCAGAAAACCAAAAACAAGCAAACAAAAGAGUGUCAGGGCUGGAGAGAUGGCUCAGUCGAUAAGGUAAGAGCACUUAUUAUUCUUGCAAAGGACUGGAGUUUGCUUCCCAGCACCCACAUGGAGCAGCUCACAACCACCCAUAACUCUCCUUUCUGGCAUCUGAGGCCACUGCAUGGAUGCGGUGCACACACAAAAAUUGUGUGUGUGUGUGUGUGUGUGUGUGUGUGUGUGUGUGUGUGUGUGUAUUUGAGUCACCCCUCAGCCCUUCAGCUGAAUGUUGGCAUUUCAAAUCCUUUUCUGGCUUCCUGUGAAGAUUUUAAUAAAAGCACAGACAACAUAAAGCAGAAGCUGGCUGGGAACUACCUAAAUUCAACCCAGAUUUUCUUUUUGUUGUCCUGGGUUUUUGUUUGCUGUUUGGUUUUUCGAGACACGGUUUCUCUGUGUAGCCCUGACUAUCCUAGAACUCACUCUGUAGACCAGGCUGGCCUCGAACUCAGAGGUCCACCUGCCAACACUUCCAACUUCAAAUCAGACUUUUCUAACUCAUCUGCACAUUCAACACCCAGUGAAAAUGUAAAUUUUGGCAAAUUCCACUCAUUCUGUAAACGUUUUACCAAAGCAAAUGGAAAGUUGUGUAGGGCAGCCUGCCUCUCUCCCCUCCGGGUGGGGUAACAAACAUGGCACCUUGCUUUUGUGUGGGUUCUGGGAUCCGAACCUGGGCCUUCAUGCUUGUGCAGCAAAGGCUUUAUUGACUGAACCAUAUCUCCAGCUCCUUGAUGAAUUUUUACUCUAGAAAUGAGUAAAUGUGAGCCCAUGUCUACAAUCUGGCCAUCAUCAUUUCUGACCUUUGAAGUGAUGUUAAAAUGUUAGUUUGUUAGACAUUUAUAUUUUUAAGGUACGGGACAAGAGCAUCCCUGACUUUAAAAUGUAUUGGGGAUGAGACUAGAAAGAGGGGUAAUAAAGCUGAGUGUGGCAGCACACGCCUGUAAUCCCCGCACUGGGGAGGCAGAGGUUGGAGGAUCAGUUCUAGGUCAUCCUGGACUACAUAAUAAGUCUGAGACCAAACUGGGAUAUGUGAGAUUCUAUCGUUAAAAAGCAAAGCAAAAAAAAAAAAAAAAGAACAAUUGUAGUGGGUAGCCAUUCCAGCUUUGAUCUGGAAGUUCCAACCCCCAUUGAGACUUCAGCAACUGUCACGCCUACAAGGCGGGGCCAAGGGAGGCGCCUGGAGACCUGAGAUCUGGAUGGGCUGCACUCUCACUCGGUUCCAGGACCUUGGACGGUGGAGGUGGGCCAAGCAGACCUCCAGAGAACACCGCUGGACUGCGAUACACCUUCCCUACACCCCGCGACCUACCUAUCCCUUAAUUUGUAAGUUAUGCCAUUAAAUAAAUCUCCUUUUAACUACGUGGA